CUACGGGACGCUGCAGCUAAGAAUCUUCCGCAAUGGGCGCAAGCCUGACGGAGCGACGCCGCGUGGGUGAAGAAGGCCGAGAGGUUGUAAAGCCCUUUUCUGUCUGAGGAAUAAGCCUGGGAGGGAAUGCCCGGGUGAUGACGGUAAGACAGGAAUAAGCCCCGGCUAAUUACGUGCCAGCAGCCGCGGUAACACGUAUGGGGCGAGCGUUGUUCGGAAUCAUUGGGCGUAAAGGGCGCGUAGGCGGAGAUGCAAGUCUGGUGUGAAAGACCGCAGCUUAACUGCGGGACCGCGCUGGAAACUGCAUAUCUUGAGUUCCGGAGGGGGAGUUGGAAUUCCUGGUGUAGGGGUGAAAUCUGUUGAUAUCAGGAAGAACACCGGUGGCGAAGGCGAACUCCUGGACGGAAACUGACGCUGAGGCGCGAAAGCGUGGGGAGCGAACAGGAUUAGAUACCCUAGUAGUC
rnacentral:rRNA from 1 species